GAUGAACGCUGGCGGCGUGCCUAAUACAUGCAAGUCGAGCGAACAGACGAGGAGCUUGCUCCUCUGACGUUAGCGGCGGACGGGUGAGUAACACGUGGAUAACCUACCUAUAAGACUGGGAUAACUUCGGGAAACCGGAGCUAAUACCGGAUAAUAUAUUGAACCGCAUGGUUCAAUAGUGAAAGACGGUUUUGCUGUCACUUAUAGAUGGAUCCGCGCCGCAUUAGCUAGUUGGUAAGGUAACGGCUUACCAAGGCAACGAUGCGUAGCCGACCUGAGAGGGUGAUCGGCCACACUGGAACUGAGACACGGUCCAGACUCCUACGGGAGGCAGCAGUAGGGAAUCUUCCGCAAUGGGCGAAAGCCUGACGGAGCAACGCCGCGUGAGUGAUGAAGGUCUUCGGAUCGUAAAACUCUGUUAUUAGGGAAGAACAAAUGUGUAAGUAACUAUGCCCGUCUUGACGGUACCUAAUCAGAAAGCCACGGCUAACUACGUG
rnacentral:rRNA from 1 species